rnacentral:misc_RNA from 1 species
GCUCGCUUGAUUCCUGCAAUCUCACCAGGCAUUUCAUCCACCACAGUUACUUUAUAACCCUGCCGUUGAGCCCACAACUUAUACAUUUGCAUGACCAUUUUUGCCCAGUCCAUGCUCUCAGUACCCCCAGCUCCAGCUUGGACCUCCAUAUAACAAGAGCAAGAAUCCUGCUCGCCAGCCAACAAUGCUUGAAGCUCUUUCUCUUUUGAAUUUCUUCUCAUCCGAAGUAAAGCAUUCAACGACUCCGAUUCCAACUCAGUGUCAUCCUCUUCACGAGCCAGCUUUAUCAUGUCAAUAUGCUCAAGCAAUU